CCUACGGGUGGCAGCAGUGAGGAAUAUUGGUCAAUGGGCGCGAGCCUGAACCAGCCAAGUAGCGUGAAGGAUGACUGCCCUACGGGUUGUAAACUUCUUUUAUAAAGGAAUAAAGUGAGGCACGUGUGCCUUUUUGUAUGUACUUUAUGAAUAAGGAUCGGCUAACUCCGUGCCAGCAGCCGCGGUAAUACGGAGGAUCCGAGCGUUAUCCGGAUUUAUUGGGUUUAAAGGGUGCGUAGGCGGCCUUUUAAGUCAGCGGUGAAAGUCUGUGGCUCAACCAUAGAAUUGCCGUUGAAACUGGGAGGCUUGAGUAUGUUUGAGGCAGGCGGAAUGCGUGGUGUAGCGGUGAAAUGCUUAGAUAUCACGCAGAACCCCGAUUGCGAAGGCAGCCUGCCAAGCCAUGACUGACGCUGAUGCACGAAAGCGUGGGGAUCAAACAGGAUUAGAUACCCUUGUAGUC
rnacentral:rRNA from 1 species